GACGAACGCUGGCGGCGUGCUUAACACAUGCAAGUCGAACGCUGAAGCUUGGUGCUUGCACUGGGUGGAUGAGUGGCGAACGGGUGAGUAAUACGUGAGUAACCUGCCCUUGACUCUGGGAUAAGCCUGGGAAACUGGGUCUAAUACUGGAUACGACAUGUCACCGCAUGGUGGUGUGUGGAAAGGGUUUUACUGGUUUUGGAUGGGCUCACGGCCUAUCAGCUUGUUGGUGGGGUAAUGGCUCACCAAGGCGACGACGGGUAGCCGGCCUGAGAGGGUGACCGGCCACACUGGGACUGAGACACGGCCCAGACUCCUACGGGAGGCAGCAGUGGGGAAUAUUGCACAAUGGGCGGAAGCCUGAUGCAGCGACGCCGCGUGAGGGAUGACGGCCUUCGGGUUGUAAACCUCUUUCAGCACGGAAGAAGCGAAAGUGACGGUACGUGCAGAAGAAGUGCCGGCUAACUACGUG
rnacentral:rRNA from 1 species